rnacentral:rRNA from 1 species
AUGCCUUACACAUGCAAGUCGAACGGUAACAGGUCUUCGGAUGCUGACGAGUGGCGAACGGGUGAGUAAUACAUCGGAACGUGCCCGAGAGUGGGGGAUAACGAAGCGAAAGCUUUGCUAAUACCGCAUACGAUCUCAGGAUGAAAGCAGGGGACCGCAAGGCCUUGCGCUCACGGAGCGGCCGAUGGCAGAUUAGGUAUUUGGUGGGAUAAAAGCUUACCAAGCCGACGAUCUGUAGCUGGUCUGAGAGGACGACCAGCCACACUGGCACUGAGACACGGCCCAGAACUCCUACGGGAGGCAGCAGUGGGGAAUUUUGGACAAUGGGCGCUCAUGCCUUGAUCCAGCCGUGCCGCCGUGCAGGAUGAAGGCCUUCAGGGUUUGUAAACUGCUUUAGUUCGGAGCGAAAAAACUCCUUCUCACUAAAGGGGGUUCAUGACGGUACCGUAAGAAUAAGCACCGGCUAACUACGUGCCAGCAGCCGCGGUAAUACGUAGGGUGCGAGCGUUAAUCGGAAUUACUGGGCGUAAAGCGUGCGCAGGCGGUGAUGUAAGACAGAUGUGAAAUCCCCGGGCUCAACCUGGGAACUGCAUUUGUGACUGCAUCGCUGGAGUGCGGCAGAGGGGGAUGGAAUUCCGCGUGUAGCAGUGAAAUGCGUAGAUAUGCGGAGGAACACCGAUGGCGAAGGCAAUCCCCUGGGCCUGCACUGACGCUCAUGCACGAAAGCGUGGGGAGCAAACAGGAUUAGAUACCCUGGUAGUCCACGCCCUAAACGAUGUCAACUGGUUGUUGGGUCUUCACUGACUCAGUAACGAAGCUAACGCGUGAAGUUGUCCGCCUGGGGAGU